ACGGGUUUGUACAUACAAGUAGUAGGGAAAGGAAACUGACCGGACCCUUCGGGGAGCUUGAACAGGUGCUGCAUGGCUGUCGUCAGCUCGUGUCGUGAGAUGUUCGGUUAAGUCCGCUAACGAGCGCAACCCUCGCUGUGUGUUACAAGUGUCACACGGAACUGCCGGUCAUAAACCGGAGGAAGGUGGGGAUGACGUCAAGUCAGCAUGGCCUUUAUAUCCUGGGCUACACACACGCUACAAUGGGAAGGGACAAUAGGUUGCGAAACCGCGAGGUGGAGCCAAUCCAGCAAAACUUCCCUCAGUUCAGAUUGCAGGCUGCAACUCGCCUGCAUGAAGUUGGAGUUGCUAGUAAACGCAGGUCAGCCAUACUGCGUUGAAUACGUUCCCGGGGCUU
rnacentral:rRNA from 1 species